GCUGUAGCUCAGUGGAAGAGCAUCUCCUUCCAAGCAGAUGAUUCCUGGUUCAACCCCUGGCAUCUCCA